rnacentral:rRNA from 1 species
CCUACGGGGGGCUGCAGUGGGGAAUAUUGGACAAUGGGGGCAACCCUGAUCCAGCCAUGCCGCGUGUGUGAAGAAGGCCCUCGGGUUGUAAAGCACUUUCAGUGAGGAAGAACGCCUGGUGGUUAAUACCCAUCAGGAAAGACAUCACUCACAGAAGAAGCACCGGCUAACUCCGUGCCAGCAGCCGCGGUAAUACAGAGGGUGCGAGCGUUAAUCGGAAUUACUGGGCGUAAAGCGCGCGUAGGUGGCUUGAUAAGCCGGUUGUGAAAGCCCCGGGCUCAACCUGGGAACGGCAUCCGGAACUGUCAAGCUAGAGUGCAGGAGAGGAAGGUAGAAUUCCCGGUGUAGCGGUGAAAUGCGUAGAGAUCGGGAGGAAUACCAGUGGCGAAGGCGGCCUUCUGGACUGACACUGACACUGAGGUGCGAAAGCGUGGGUAGCAAACAGGAUUAGAUACCCCGGUAGUC